GAUGCAGAGCAACUGGAACUCUUGGAUGUGGCUGCAAGAGUAGACCUGGUCCAACCACUCCGGAAAACCAGGUGGCAGAGGGACAGAGCACAAGCCGGGGGCACCUGGGCACCGUAAGCCCCGCAGGCCACUGCCAAGCACCGGUGAGCCUCAUCCUGGGAUCCCCCUGCAGGAUGCCAUUAGGAGGAUCUGGCUCCUGGGGCCAUGCAGAGCCCUCUCCACCCAGCCUGUCAAUGUCAUGGAAGCCAAAUGCAUCCUGACAGUCGCAUUUCCUGAGCCAGCUGCUGAGUCACCACCAGGGAAGGCCCCAGGGCUCCAGGAACUGGGGUCUGCAAAUGGGGACAGGUGGGUAUUUUUAACAUCAUCUGUGCUGGGGACCAGAGAGCAAUUUCAAGGGGUGGAAAA
rnacentral:lncRNA from 1 species